rnacentral:sRNA from 24 species
AUUAACCAAACGCUGAAUUCCCGUUACGGGAAGCGGGGGAACCACUUUUUGGGGUGAAUCCUUUUCAGGUAGGGCGACUCCUUCCGCCCGAACCCGUCAGCUAACCUCGUAAGCGUCGAAGGGGGAGCAA